rnacentral:rRNA from 1 species
AGCUCCAUUAGCGUAUAUUAACGUUGUUGCAGUUAAAAAGCUCGUAGUUGGAUUUGUGGUUGGUCGAGUGGUCCCCAAAUUUGGGGUGCCGUUUCGAUUGGCCAUCCUUGGGUGGAAUCUGUGUGGCAUUAGGUUGUCGCGCAGGGGAUGCCCAUCGUUUACUGUGAAAAAAUUAGAGUGUUCAAAGCAGGCUUAUGCCGUUGAAUAUAUUAGCAUGGAAUAAUAAGAUAGGACCUUGGUACUAUUUUGUUGGUUUGCGCACCGAGGUAAUGAUUAAUAGGGACAGUUGGGGGUAUUCGUAUUCCAUUGUCAGAGGUGAAAUUCUUGGAUUUUUGGAAGACGAACUACUGCGAAAGCAUUUACCAAGGAUGUUUUCA